UGGUAGUCCGCGCUGUAAACGAUGAUUACUCGAUGUAUGCGAUACACAGUAUGCGUCUGAGCGAAAGUAUUAAGUAAUCCACCUGGGGAGUACGUCGGCAACGAUGAAACUCAAAGGAAUUGACGGGGGCCCGCACAAGCGGAGGAACAUGUGGUUUAAUUCGAUGAUACGCGAGGAACCUUACCUGGGCUUAAAUGCAGAAUGAUUUUAUUUGAAAAAGUAAUUCCCUUCGGGGCAAUUUGCAAGGUGCUGUAUGGUUGUCGUCAGCUCGUGCCGUGAGGUGUCGGGUUAAGUCCCAUAACGAGCGCAACCCUUAUCGUUAGUUACCAGCUGGUAAAGCAGGGGACUCUAGCGAAACUGCCAGUGUAAACUGAGAGGAAGGUGGGGAUGACGUCAAAUCAGCACGGCCCUUAUGUCCAGGGCUACACACGUGUUACAAUGGUCGAUACAAAGAGUUGCUUCUUGGCAACAAGUGGCUAAUCUUAAAAGUCGAUCUCAGUUCGGAUCGGAGUCUGCAACUCGACUUCGUGAAGUUGGAUUCGCUAGUAAUCGUAUAUCAGCAAUGAUACGGUGAAUACGUUCCCGGGCCUUGUACACACCGCCCGUCAAGCCAUGGAAGCUGGGGGUACCUGAAGUCUGUAACCGCAAGGAGCGGACUAGGGUAAAACUAGUGACUGGGGCUAAGUCGUAACAAGGUAACC
rnacentral:rRNA from 1 species